rnacentral:rRNA from 1 species
GACGAACGCUGGCGGCGUGCCUAAUACAUGCAAGUAGAACGCUGAAGCGAGGAGCUUGCUCUUCUUGGAUGAGUUGCGAACGGGUGAGUAACGCGUAGGUAACCUGCCUUUUAGCGUGGGAUAACUAUUGGAAACGAUAGCUAAUACCGCAUAACAAUGGAUGACACAUGUCAUUUAUUUGAAAGUGGCAAUUGCUCCACUACAUGAUGGACCUGCGUCGUAUUAGCUAGUAGGUGAGGUAAUGGCUCACCUAGGCGACGAUACAUAGCCGACCUGAGAGGGUGAUCGGCCAAACUGGGACGGAGACAAGGGACAGAAUGCUACGGGAGGCAGCAGGAGGGAAACAUAGGAAAAGGGGGGAAAACGGACCGAGGAAGGCCGGGGGAGGGAAGAAGGGUUUCGGAUCGUAAAGCUAUGUUGUAAGUCAAGAAAGGGAGUGAGAGUGGAAAGUUCACAAUGUGACGGUAGCUAACCAGAAAGGGACGGCUAACUACGUG